UAGAGUGUCUGUGCAAUGAUGGCCAUAAGACAUGACUGUCUUCCAUAUACAUGCCCUCCUUUUUUGGGAAAAUUUGACAAGAUGAUUUCAAAAUUGAGACUUCCUAGGAAUGAGCCUUCCUACCACUGUGAAACCACACUCUCUAAAAGGUUGGUCAUCGAUGCAUCCUUUGGAUUGAUUUAUGACCAAAAGGAGGAAUUGUGGAUGAAAAAGGGAUUCUGUAGUAAGUAUGAUCAGUUGCUAGGGUAACCUGAUCAUAAAUUCUUAGCUGGGAAGAUCAUGGUGGGUAGUCACACCCCAAGCCUAUAAAAUUUUUAUCUUCGCUUUAAGCAAGUCCUGUCCAUUGUUCUUGUGAAUGAAAUGUGAAUGAAAUCGAGACUCUAAUAAAUCUGACAGGUCUAGUGACUGAAAAUAACCUCACGGGGUGAUCUGAGCAUACAUUACUCUCUGGGCAUGUCAUGGUGGGUAGCCACGUCUGAAACAUAUAACUUCUUCAGUAUAUCUAUUCCUUAAGCAAACUCUGUCCACUGUUUCUGUGCUUCUAGGUUAACACACCUUAAAUGCCAGAGUAAUCCUUUUUUUUAGACCCCUUGCAGGCAUGACCACCCUCAAGAAAGCACAUAACCUGAACUAUCCUGUAAUAAUAAAAGCCUAAUAUGCUAAGUGUCUGACCAUUCGUUCAACUGUUUGACCAGCUGCUAUGAUGCACACUGACCACCAAGGGGCAGACGCUCUGACCGGUAGGUUAGCUUGCUGCUGGGGUCCAGCUGAUUGGGACUGGGCAAGAUGGGCUGGACAAGCCCUGGAGCCUUCCUGCAGUCCCUCCCUGGCCCUGAUCGUGCACGGGGCCUCUAGUCCUGUAAUAAGAAACUGUAGCCUGGUUGAGCAUGGACCCGUGAACCAGGCCCUGUCGGAUGGGGCACAUGCCUGGGUUGUGGGCUUGAUCACCAGUAGGGGUGCGUGCAGCAGGCAGCCGAUUGAUGUUCCUCUCUCAUUGAAAUGUUUCUAUGUCUCUAUCCUAGGCAGUACUUAAUGCUUCAAUCUUUCUAUUCUAGGCAAUAUUUAAUGGCUGAUAACAUCAUUUCUGGUGGAAGUGUAUAUUGCUAUCCAUGAAGCAGAAUUGCCGGGGGGGAGGGGGGAGGGAAUUAAACCUAAAUCUGACCAAGGAUCUAGAUCCAAAUACAAUUUACAGGAAAUACAGAGGACAAAAGAACAAGUCAUAGGUUGACAUGAGGAUGUGAUCUGCAAAAUCCAAACUGAGAGAUUCUGCAGACACAUGACCUAGUUUCUUCUACAAAUAAGCUGCAAGGAAGAAGGAAAUAACAGAGGAGGGACCUAUAAAGGACUUGAGAGAUAGCAAUCAAUAUAGAAGUUAUUUGCAUCCCUACUCAAACUGUAAAAAUAAACAUUAAAAAUAUAAGUUAAUGAGGUAGGGUGACUGUUAAAAGGUGUAAGACUUACUUGUCCCUGUUGAAAAUAAGGGAAUAGACCUCCCCCCUCCCCACUUUGUUUCAAAAUUUCUCUUUCUGUCCUUUUCAAAUGUAUAUAAAUCUUUAUAAUGACUAAAGGAGCCUGUGCCAGUCUCACAACCCAAGAAUGUUUCCUCAAGGAUCUGGGAACCAUCUUUUUGAAAUGCAAACAUCUAGCACUCUUUUCCCAGUUCCUAUGGGAGAAUAAUAGGCUAACUUCUGUGGGCACAAAAUAUAAGAAUUCUUUAAAAGUUAUCCACAAUACCUUUACCACACCUAAAAGGUGGAGGGUGCCUUGCUCCAAUAUGCAAAACUGCCUCCCCUGUUAAGAUGAAAAGUCUGUUUACCCUUCAGAUAAAUGGAAUCAACUAACACAGGUGGCCACUCCAAUUUCUUUAAGUUAGAAUGCACUAUAUGUGACAAAAGGUAUUAUCAAGUUCUCUUACUGGAGGACUAGUUAUCAUUUAUCUUGAAAACAUCUAAUGUCUUGCACCUUCUUGGCUAUAUAAAUGAGUGAGGUUUUUUUUAUCUUUGUAAUCUUUUAGCAGAUUGCCUGAUUUACUGCUUAUUCAAUAUUACCUGUUUUCUUUCUCUACUGCUUGGAGGGGUUUUCUCAGUUGGGGAGGUUUUUAAAAACUUUUAUUUCCCCAACACUGGGUAUUUGAUAUUAACUUAUUUUAGGUAAGGUAAAGGUAUUGUGGGUAAGUUUUAAAGAAUUCUUGUAUUUUGGAGAUAAUGAAAUAUUUGCAGAUGAAACAAUAUGAUGUUUGUGAUUUGCUUCAAAAGGUAUGGAGGUAGAGUGAAAAACAUUCCUGUGUACUGAUGAUUGAUGCUGGGUGACAUAUGUAUUAAAUUCAUUAUGCUACCGUCUCUACUAUUGUUGUUGGAACACUUCCAUAAUAAAAAGAGAAGAUCCAUGGAAGCCAGCUGGCAUGCAGGAUCUAUAGCUUCCUGCUGCCAUGCCUUUUACACUCACAGCUCUGGAAAAGAUAUAUGAAUGGUCCUAAUGUGAAUGGAGAAAAUGGCCCCUAACAUCCACUGGAAACACUUGGGUUGGCUAUAAGGGAGAAUCUUCCUACCAUAAAGGGAAGAAGGGGAAAACAACAAUCACUGGAAUCAAAUUAACCUUCCAAGCCCCAUGUGUGAAGGGCGAGCGGGAGCCAAGACAGGCUGAGCCAGUGGAUUCCUGCCGGUUUCUCCUCCUCCGGCCCCUCCACGGACUCCUCUCCCUCCUUUCCGCUCCUCCAUCACCCUCCGCGGGACCCACCACUUCCUCGCUCCGCCCAGGGAGGCCGCGGAAACCCGCCAGCUCGGAGCCCCCCGCCGAAUCGCACACAGGGUUCCUCCAUCCCCUCCCUCUUUCCCUGUUUUUUAGGGGGGAAAGUCCCACGUGCUCUCCCGGUGCCCAAUCGCCAGAACCACCAGGUUUUCCCCAUCCUCUCCUCGAUUCUUCGAACCCCUACCCCCCACCCGCUCCGCUUUCUCUGGUUCUAGCGGGCGGAGAUCCCGUUCCCGGGUGCCAGGUCCUAGUUCUCACCUGUCCC